UCUUCUGUGCUUAGCUUCACUGGAGUGUCAACACUUAAUACUAGUUAUGUAGAAUUACAACUUUAUAUUUAUUACAGUAAAUACACAGAGCACUAAAUUCAGUACGAGAUCUGCUAUGAUGUUUCUCUCUUAUAUGUAACCAAGAAAUUUCCCAUGCUGUCACUAAGAAUCAGGUAUUCCUCCUGCUUUCUGCUAAAGGACCUAAAAUUAUAUUGGAAAUAUCAUCAAAGGAUAAAUCAUACUGGAUCUUCUUUUGGUUACAUUUAUAGGAGCUGCCACUCAGUGACCAUGUCAAGGGCACGUUGGCUCUCAGCCCCAGCCACUCUCCCAUGGCCAGCACACAAGGCCACCACAGCCUGGUCCUGACGUGAUACCCAAGACCGGUGGGUACGAGGGGCAUCUGCUUCACUGCUUCUCAAUAUUGGACCAGUUUCUUAAAACUAUUUUCCAGGAAUAGACAAACCCUACCUGCAAACCAAGAAGACAGAUUUUGGCCUAUGUUUAGCAAUAUUCUCUUGCCAUGAUGGAGAGUAUCCUCUCAUGAACAACGAUUAUAAAUCUGUCAAUCACCCUAUGUAACUUCUCAAAUGAAGCAGCUAAAGCCAUAGCUGCCCAAUAAAAAUCUUUAAACUC
rnacentral:sRNA from 1 species